UAGUUCUUUGGGGGCGAGCCUGAUCUUCU
rnacentral:piRNA from 1 species